GUUGUAUGGUUAAGUGACUAAGCGUACAUGGUGGAUGCCUUGGCAGUCAGAGGCGAUGAAGGACGUACUAACCUGCGAUAAGCUGUGAGAAGUCGGUAAGAGACGCUAUUACUCACAGAUUUCCGAAUGGGGAAACCCACCCGAGAUAACUUGGGUAUCGUUACAUGAAUACAUAGUGUACCGAGGCGAACCGGGAGAAUUGAAACAUCUAAGUACCCCGAGGAAAAGAAAUCAACCGAGAUUCCCUCAGUAGCGGCGAGCGAACGGGGAUUACCCCCUAAGCAUCUUGGAAGUUAGUGGAACGGUCCUGGAAAGGCCGGGGAUACAGGGUGAUAGCCCCGUACACGAAAACAACCUUGAUGGGAAAUCGAGUAGGGCGGGACACGUGACAUCCUGUCUGAAUAUGGGGGGACCAUCCUCCAAGGCUAAAUACUCCUGACUGACCGAUAGUGAACCAGUACCGUGAGGGAAAGGGGAAAAGAACCCCUGUGAGGGGAGUGAAAUAGAACCUGAAACCGUGUACGUACAAGCAGUGGGAGCCCUUCGGGGUGACUGCGUACCUUUUGUAUAAUGGGUCAGCGACUUAUUUUUUGUAGCGAGGUUAACCGUAUAGGGGAGCCGUAGGGAAACCGAGUCUUAACUGGGCGUCUAGUUGCAAGGUGUAGACCCGAAACCGGGUGAUCUAGCCAUGGGCAGGUUGAAGGUUGAGUAACAUCAACUGGAGGACCGAACCCACUAACGUUGCAAAGUUAGGGGAUGACCUGUGGCUGGGGGUGAAAGGCCAAUCAAACUCGGAGAUAGCUGGUUCUCCCCGAAAGCUAUUUAGGUAGCGCCUCGGACGAAUACUACUGGGGGUAGAGCACUGUUUGGGCUAGGGGGUCAUCCCGACUUACCAACCCCAUGCAAACUCCGAAUACCAGUAAGUACUAUCGGGGAGACACACGGCGGGUGCUAACGUCCGUCGUGAAGAGGGAAACAACCCAGACCGCCGGCUAAGGUCCCAAAGUUCUGGUUAAGUGGGAAACGAUGUGGGAAGGCUCAGACAGCUAGGAUGUUGGCUUAGAAGCAGCCAUCAUUUAAAGAAAGCGUAAUAGCUCACUAGUCGAGUCGGCCUGCGCGGAAGAUGUAACGGGGCUCAAACCAGGCACCGAAGCCGCGGAUUCACACUUAUGUGUGAGUGGUAGGGGAGCGUUCUGUAAGUCUGCGAAGGUGUAUCGAGAGGUAUGCUGGAGAUAUCAGAAGUGCGAAUGCUGACGUAAGUAACGAUAAAGGGGGUGAAAAGCCUCCUCGCCGGAAGACCAAGGGUUCCUGUCCAACGUUAAUCGGGGCAGGGUGAGUCGACCCCUAAGGCGAGGCCGAAAGGCGUAGUCGAUGGGAAGCAGGUUAAUAUUCCUGCACGACUUGUAAUUGCGAUGGGGGGACGGAGAAGGCUAGGUGGGCCAGGCGACGGUUGUCCUGGUGAAAGUGCGUAGGUGGUGUUUCUAGGCAAAUCCGGAGACACAACACUGAGACACGAGACGAACACACUACGGUGUGGAAGCCAUUGAUGCCCUGCUUCCAGGAAAAGCCUCUAAGCUUCAGAUUACAAGUCAUCGUACCCCAAACCGACACAGGUGGUCGGGUAGAGAAUACCAAGGCGCUUGAGAGAACUCGGGUGAAGGAACUAGGCAAAAUAGAACCGUAACUUCGGGAGAAGGUUCGCUCUUGACAGUGAAGUCCCUUGCGGAUGGAGCAGUUGGGAGUCGCAGUGACCAGAUGGCUGGGACUGUUUAUCAAAAACACAGCACUCUGCAAACACGAAAGUGGACGUAUAGGGUGUGACACCUGCCCGGUGCCGGAAGGUUAAUUGAUGGGGUUAGCGCAAGCGAAGCUCUUGAUCGAAGCCCCGGUAAACGGCGGCCGUAACUAUAACGGUCCUAAGGUAGCGAAAUUCCUUGUCGGGUAAGUUCCGACCUGCACGAAUGGUGUAACCAUGGCCAUGCUGUCUCCACCCGAGACUCAGUGAAAUCGAAUUCGCCGUGAAGAUGCGGUGUACCCGCGGCUAGACGGAAAGACCCCGUGAACCUUUACUACAGCUUGGCACUGAACAUUGAACCUACAUGUGUAGGAUAGGUGGGAGGCUUUGAAGGCGUGACGCCAGUUGCGCUGGAGCCGUCCUUGAAAUACCACCCUUGUAUGUUUGAUGUUCUAACGCAGGGCCCUGAAUCGGGCUCGCGGACAGUGCCUGGUGGGUAGUUUGACUGGGGCGGUCUCCUCCCAAAGAGUAACGGAGGAGCACGAAGGUUGGCUAAUCCUGGUCGGACAUCAGGAGGUUAGUGCAAUGGCAUAAGCCAGCUUAACUGCGAGACGGACAGGUCGAGCAGGUACGAAAGUAGGUCAUAGUGAUCCGGUGGUUCUGAAUGGAAGGGCCAUCGCUCAACGGAUAAAAGGUACUCCGGGGAUAACAGGCUGAUACCGCCCAAGAGUUCAUAUCGACGGCGGUGUUUGGCACCUCGAUGUCGGCUCAUCACAUCCUGGGGCUGAAGUCGGUCCCAAGGGUAUGGCUGUUCGCCAUUUAAAGUGGUACGCGAGCUGGGUUCAGAACGUCGUGAGACAGUUCGGUCCCUAUCUGCCGUGGGCGUUGGAUGAUUGAAGGGAGUUGCUCCUAGUACGAGAGGACCGGAGUGAACGAACCUCUGGUGUUCGGGUUGUCACGCCAGUGGCACUGCCCGGUAGCUAAGUUCGGAAUCGAUAACCGCUGAAAGCAUCUAAGA
rnacentral:rRNA from 1 species